rnacentral:lncRNA from 10 species
GCCACAAGUGUCAACAGCAGCCCAGGACUUCCACAUCUUUCUGUAAAUUGGACAAAGAUCCCUGUGUCCAGAGGAGGAGACAACACCUCCACGCCCCAGUCCCGAAGCUCUGUGGACCCUGCCUUUGGACACCCGCCUAGGAGGCUGUGUCCAACCCGGGAUGAUCCUAAAGAGCAGAUGGAGUCUUACACCGUCGCCCUGGCUGGAGUGCCCUUGCGUGAUCUCGGCUCACUGCAACCUCCGUCUCCCAGGAUCACGUGAUUCUCCUGCCUCAGCCUCCUGAGUAGCUG